rnacentral:ncRNA from 1 species
AGUCCCCUUACGAAACUUCCGUUAUUUUGUUACCCGUGGAGAGCUACAAAAGUCCAUAGACCGCCUAAUUGACACUAACAAGUAAAAUUUCAUUGUGGUUCUGGGCCCCAUAUCAGCAACAAAGGGUGUGCUAAACUAUUGGAGGGGGUAAAAACGGUUGCUGCUACCUUAUCCUAUUUCCAUACUUAUGUCGCUAUAUCCUCAUAUGGGUGGAAACAAACUCUGAAUACUAGAUAUGACCCUAAAAUAACAGCGGUCAAGGUCGGCCAGUGCGACGAUGGGGGAUAAGUUUCAUCAUCGAGAGGGAAAGAACCCGGAUCACCAGCUAAGGCCCCUACAUGACCGCUCAGUGAUAAAGAGGAUGGGGGUGCAAAGACAAGCAGUAGGCUUGCCUGUUAGCAACGACCCUUUAAAGAGUGUGUAAUAGCUCACUGAUCGAACGCCCUUGCGCCGAAGAUGAAUGGGGCUAAGCGAUCUUCUGAAGCUGUGGAAUGUCAAAAUGCAUCGGUAGGGGAACGUUUCACCUUAGAGGGAAGCAAGCGCGAAAGCGGGGGNNNNCGAAGAGGAAGCGAGAAUGUCGGC